ACGUAGGUGGCAAGCGUUGUCCGGAUUUACUGGGUGUAAAGGGCGUGUAGGCGGGCCUGCAAGUCAGAUGUGAAAUGCCAGGGCUUAACCCUGGAGCUGCAUUUGAAACUGCGGGACUUGAGUGAUGGAGAGGCAGGCGGAAUUCCUAGUGGAGCGGUGAAAUGCGUAGAUAUUAGGCGGAACACCAGUGGCGAAGGCAGCCUACUGGACUUUCUCUGACGCUGAGGCGCGAAAGCGUGGGGAGCAAACAG
rnacentral:rRNA from 1 species